AUACUUACAUGGCAGGGGAGCUACUGUGAUCCUGAAGGUGGCUUUCUGAGUACAAGGCUCAUCCAUUGCACUAUGAAUGUGCUAACCCCUGAGAUUUCCCCAAAUGUGGAAAACUUGAUGGCAUUAAUUUGUGGUAGUGGGAGACAAUGGUCAUGCUUCUCCCC